GAUCCUGGCUCAGGAUGAACGCUGGCGGCGUGCCUAACACAUGCAAGUCGAGCGGACCUUAGAGAGUGAACAGCUUGCUGGGAUCUUCGAAAGGUUAGCGGCGGACGGGUGAGUAACGCGUGGGUAACCUGCCUCAUACAGGGGGAUAGCAGUUGGAAACGACUGGUAAUACCGCAUAAGCGCACAGUGCCGCAUGGUACGGUGUGAAAAACUCCGGUGGUAUGAGAUGGACCCGCGUCCGAUUAGCCAGUUGGCGGGGUAACGGCCCACCAAAGCGACGAUCGGUAGCCGGCCUGAGAGGGCGGACGGCCACAUUGGGACUGAGACACGGCCCAGACUCCUACGGGAGGCAGCAGUGGGGGAUAUUGCACAAUGGAGGAAACUCUGAUGCAGCGACGCCGCGUGGGUGAAGAAGUAUUUCGGUAUGUAAAGCCCUAUCAGCAGGGACGAUAAUGGCGGUACCUGACUAAGAAGCCCCGGCUAACUACGUGCCAGCCGCGGC
rnacentral:rRNA from 1 species